UCGAGAAUAUUUCGCAAUGGGCGCAAGCCUGACGAAGCGACGCCGUGUGAACGAAGAAGGCCUUCGGGUUGUAAAGUUCUGUCGUUUGGGAACAAGUAUAACGUAGAAAUACUACGAUAUAUUGAGAGUACCGAAGAAGGAAGCACCGGCUAACUCCGUGCCAGCAGCUGCGGUAAUACGGAGGGUGCAAGCGUUAGUCGGAAUUAUUGGGCGUAAAGGGUGCGUAGGUUGGGAUGAAAGUCAGAUGUGAAAUUCCGAAGCUCAACUUCGGAGCUGCAUCUGAAACUUCAUUUCUAGAGGGAUGGCGGAGAAAACGGAAUUCCACGUGUAGCGGUGAAAUGCGUAGAUAUGUGGAAGAACACCUGUGGCGAAAGCGGUUUUCUAGCCUACCCCAGACACUGAGGCACGAAAGCAAGGGGAGCAAACAGG
rnacentral:rRNA from 1 species